GACGAACCGUGCGAACGUUGUUCGGAAUCACUGGGCUUAAAGGGCGCGUAGGCGGGCAUUCAAGUCCGGGGUGAAAGCCCCCAGCUCAACUGGGGAAGUGCCUUGGAAACUGGAUGUCUAGAGGGAGGUAGGGGCCUGUGGAACUUCGGGUGUAGCGGUGAAAUGCGCAGAUAUCGGGAGGAACACCAGCGGCGAAGGCGGCACUCUGGGCUGGAACUGACGCUGAGGAGCGAAAGCGUGGGUAGCAAACAGG
rnacentral:rRNA from 1 species